rnacentral:rRNA from 1 species
AUUGAACGCUGGCGGCAGGCCUAACACAUGCAAGUCGAGCGAGCGGCGGGCGGGUGAGUAAUGCCUGGGACUUGCCCGGUCGAGGGGGAUAACAGUUGGCAACGACUGCUAAUACCACCUAAGCUUGUCUUCCCCAGGUGGGGUUGGCUAGUGGGUGAGGUAAUGGCUCACCAAGGCGACGCUCCCUAGCUGGUCGGAGAGUAUGAUCAGCCACACUGGAACUGAGACACGGUCCAGACUCCUACGGGAGGCAGCAGUGGGGAAUAUUGCACAAUGGGGGAAAGCCUGAUGCAGCCAUGCCGCGUGUGUGAAGAAGGCCUUCGGGUUGUAAAGCACUUUCAGCGAGGAGGCGUUACUCGCAGAAGAAGCACCGGCUAACUCCGUGCCAGCAGCCGCGGUAAUAC